GAUGAACGCUGGCGGCGUGCCUAAUACAUGCAAGUCGAGCGAACGGACGAGAAGCUUGCUUCUCUGAUGUUAGCGGCGGACGGGUGAGUAACACGUGGAUAACCUACCUAUAAGACUGGGAUAACUUCGGGAAACCGGAGCUAAUACCGGAUAAUAUUUUGAACCGCAUGGUUCAAAAGUGAAAGACGGUCUUGCUGUCACUUAUAGAUGGAUCCGCGCUGCAUUAGCUAGUUGGUAAGGUAACGGCUUACCAAGGCAACGAUGCAUAGCCGACCUGAGAGGGUGAUCAGCCACACUGGAACUGAGACACGGUCCAGACUCCUACGGGAGGCAGCAGUAGGGAAUCUUCCGCAAUGGGCGAAAGCCUGACGGAGCAACGCCGCGUGAGUGAUGAAGGUCUUCGGAUCGUAAAACUCUGUUAUUAGGGAAGAACAUAUGUGUGAGUAUCUGUGCACAUCUUGACGGUACCUAAUCAGAAAGCCACGGCUAACUACGUG
rnacentral:rRNA from 1 species